rnacentral:rRNA from 1 species
UAGGGAAUCUUCGGCAAUGGACGAAAGUCUGACCGAGCAACUCCGCGUGAGUGAAGAAGGUUUUCGGAUCGUAAAACUCUGUUGUUAGAGAAGAACAAGGGUGAGAGUAACUGUUCACCCCUUGACGGUAUCUAACCAGAAAGCCACGGCUAACUACGUGCUAG